CUCAUAGCUGUGGCCAGACAGCCUAUUUCUAUGCCAAACAACCGAUGCACUAGCGCAGCGCAGUGCCUGCCUGAUUAGCCCUUCUGCCGCUUUCUAGAGGCCUGGAGUGUUUUGUUCAAGGACAAAAAUGUUAUGCUGAUGGCCUCCAUUUGUCCCGAGAGGAGCUCUGGAGGGGUUGAAGAGUUCACAAAGAGGCUGGUGGAUAGGAAGACUCGUGACAGUGUCUGUCUCGAAACCCUUAUGAUCAUUCAUGUCUGUAGUGAUGAAUGUUCCAGCAACAGUGACCUACUUCUUGUGGUUUCUCAAACAUCUCGCACCUCCAUUCGUGCCUUUGUACCAACUGGUCCCCACACCUGGAAUGCUCAGACUCCUCACCUCCACCUCUCAGUGUUCCUGAAUUCCUUCCAAGACUCAGAUCAAAACCUCCAGUCUAAGUGACUUUUUCUGGUUCCCUUCCAUCAAUGCCUUCUCCUCUCAGACUGCCUCUGCUCUGCUUCAUAUAGCUUUAUGUACAUGUUGACUCCCUUGAGGGCAGGGGCUCUCUUCUUGCCAUUCUUUGCAUCCCCAUCACUUAGCACAGUGCCUGGC